UGCGGUAUCCUGACCGUGCUAAGGUAGCAUAAUAAUUUGUCUUUUAAAUGAAGACUAGUAUGAAUGGCAUUCCAUUUUCUUACUGUCUCUCUAUAUACUCUUUAAAAUUUCUACCCACGUGAAGAAGCGUGGAUUCUCCAGUAAGACGAGAAGACCCUGUCGAGCUUAAGUUAAUAAAAAGAAUUAUUUUAAAGAACUCCUUUUAAAUAUCUUUUUUAAACUUUGGUUGGGGCAACCAUGGAGUAUAAUUAUCCUCCAGUUAAAAAGAUGAUCUCCAAUCUCUUUACAGUAUUAAUGAACCAGAAAUUUUGGUAAACGGAUAAAGUUACCGCAGGGAUAACAGCGUAAUCUUCUUUGAGAGCCCGUAUUGACAAGAAGGUUUGCGACCUCGAUGUUGGAUUGGGGCAACCAUAAAGUGCAGCUGCUUUAAAAGGUUGGACUGUUCGUCCAUUAAAGCCCUACGUGAUCUGAGUUCAGACCGGA
rnacentral:rRNA from 1 species